rnacentral:rRNA from 1 species
AAACGACUGCUAAGACUGGAUAGGAGAUAAGAAGGCAUCUUUUUAUCUUUAACAACGUCCUCGCAAGAGGUAUGCUUAGUGGAAGAGCUUGUGUCACACUCUAGUUAGUUGCGUGGGGUAAAGGCCUACCAAGACUAUGAUGUGUAGCCGGACUGAGAGGUUGAACGGCCACAUUGGGUCUGAGACACGGCCCAAACUCCUACGGGAGGCAGCAGUAAGGAAUUUUCGGCAAUGGAGGAAACUCUGACCGAGCAACGCCGCGUGAACGAUGAAGUAUUUCGGUACGUAAAGUUCUUUUAUUAGGGAAGAAAAGAUGGUGGAAAAACCAUUAUGACGGUACCUAAUGAAUAAGCCCCGGCUAACUAUGUGCCAGCAGCCGCGGUAAUACAUAGGGGGCAAGCGUUAUCCGGAAUUAUUGGGCGUAAAGGGUGCGUAGGCGGUUAAAUAAGUUUAUGGUCUAAGUGCAAUGCUUAACGUUGUGAUGCUAUAAAAACUGUUUAGCUAGAGUUGGAUAGAGGGCAAGUGGAAUUCCAUGUGUAGUGGUUAAAAUGCGUAAAUAUACGGAGGAACACCAGAAGCGAAGGCGGCUUGCUGGGUCUUUAACUGACGCUGAGGCACGAAAGCGUGGGGGGAGCAAACAGGAUUAGAUUCCCCUGGUAGUCCACGCCCCUAAACCGUGUCGUGAGAUGUUGGGUUAAGUCCCGCAACGAGCGCAACCCAUGUUGUUAAUUGCCAUCAUUAAGUUGGGGACUUUAGCAAGACUGCCAGUGAUAAAUUGGAGGAAGGUGGGGACGACGUCAAAUCAUCAUGCUCCUUAUGACCUGGGCUACAAACGUGAUACAAUGGCUGUUACAAAAGGCAGCUAAAGCGUAAGCUUUGGCGAAUCUCAAAAAAGCAGUCUUAGUUCGGAUUGAAGUCUGCAACUCGACUUCAUGAAGUUGGAAUCGCUAGUAAUCGCGAAUCAGCAUGUCGCGGUGAAUACGUUCUCGGGGUUUGUACACACCGCCCGUCAAACCACGAAAGUUGGCAAUACCCAAAGCCGGUGGCCUAACUUCGCAAGAAGAGGGAGCCGUCUAAGGUAGGGUUGAUAAUUGGGGUUAAGUCGUAACAAGGUAUCCCUACCGGAAGGUGGGGAUGGAUCACCUCCUUUCUAAGGAAAAAAGUUAUCAUCUUCAGUUUUGAGAGACUUAAAAAGGUUUUUCGUUUUUUUAAGAUUAAGGGCCUAUAGCUCAGUUGGUUAGAGCACACGCCUGAUAAGCGUGAGGUCGGUGGUUCAAGUCCAUUUAGGCCCACCAAAUAAAAUAGGUCACAUCUUAAAAAAAGCUCUUUGAAAAGUAGAUAAACAACAAAGGUUAAAAAAAUCAAAGGAACUAAGGGCGCACAGUGGAUGCCU